AUUGCUUCCCGGCCUUUUGGCUGAGAUCAAGUGUAGUAUCUGUUCUAAUCAGUUUAAUAUCUUACACGUCCUGUAUCCAAAGAAGGUUCCUCAUCUGUCUUUUGUAUCUCGUGUUAAUUUCC
ensembl:snRNA U2 U2 spliceosomal RNA